AAACAGAGGCCCUGAGGCAGGAGGGUGCCUGGAAUGUUCAUGAAACUACAGAGGUCAGAGUGGCUAGAGCUGAGUACACUUCUUCAGCUUCUCAGGCAGAGAAGGAAUAGACAAGUCAGGUAAAGGAUAUCUGGGAGCCAAUGUUAAGACUUCAGCUUAAUUCUGAGUGAAAUGGGGAGCCAGAGGAGGGUUUUGAGUGAGAAGCAACAGGAACCUGACUUGGGUUUUCAAAGGAUCAUUCUGGGUGAUGCUGGAGAAUAGAUGGAAAGAGGAAAGUACAGAAGCAGGAAGACCAAUGAGGAGGCACUCUGGAACAUGGGAUGAAUAAGUCUGGAAAUCUGUCCAGUGCGGUGAUUGUUAAACUUCUCUGUGCAUGUUAAUCUCCUGGGACACUUAGUAAAAAGGCAGAUUUCUAAUCUUCUCCCCAGAAAACCUGAUCUGGUGGUCUUGGCUGUGGCUGUUGAGGUCUAUACCUUCCCUCACCCAUGAUUCUGGAGUAAGUGGUUCUUGAACUACAGCUGGAGACUCACUGGGGCUUAAUUCAUUGGCAUCUGAUGAGUUAACCGCGGGGCACGCACUUCCGGAGGUUUUAGACACUGUAGAAAAGGGUUGGUAAGUUGCACUCCGCCCUCCGGGGUAUGCCGUAGUCCGGGUGAGUGUCAGGACCCCCUGGCGUCCCCAAAGGUUACACAAAGCUGGCUUCUCCUUCCGCCUCUGCUCGGUUUCUAGGACACAGGGAGACUGGUCCCGGGAAGCGGGGAUGUGGGGGUGGAGGGUGGGCAUGGGAGGGACCUGCGGGAGUCCAGGGCGGGGAAGGGGCCCCGUGGGUCCCCAGACAAAAGGCGAUGCCUAUAAAGGCAGUGGCGGAGGCGCAGCGCCCAGGCGAGGGCGACAACUGCGGCGCGGGAGCGGAGACACCCAGGAGCGUCUCCGAGGGCCGUCUUGGCAGCUUCUGAGCUGGGGUGAGCGACUCCUGGGAGGUGCGAAACUUUGGUGUUUCUCCAGAAUGCCUGAACUUAGUCUCAGGGCAGGCGCUGCAGGCAAGGGGGAGCAAGAAUUAGAAAAAGAAAAAGGGAAAAGCUGGGAAGUGAAGCGGUCAAGGGCAGCAGGUUGGGUCGGGUGGGCGUGGGCGGCGAAGGCAGG
rnacentral:lncRNA from 1 species